CUAAUGGUUAAUUUGUGCAGUUCACAGUUAACUUGGGGCAUUGUCAUUCAUGGUUUAUAGGAAUAAUAACUGGAAAUCGAUUUGUAUGCAUAUGUGUCAUGUGUGGAGAAUGACCCUCUACCUAGCCCUUCACCCCUUAAGUCACCUUAAUUUCGUGCAACCUUUACUUAGUUCUGUAACUUAUUAGUUUUAAGUCAAUUUUCGUCCAAACAAACCCCCUUUUCAUGUUUUGAGUUAAUUUAGUUAGAUUUUCGUCCAAAUCACCCCUUAGUGCUUGUUUUGAGUUAUUUGAGACAAUUUAGUUUGUUUUGAGUUAGUUUAGCUUAGUUUUAUGUUUUUGAGUCUAAUUAGUGUAGAUUAGCAGCCCUCAUGGUCCUCAGCCUAGAACGAUCUAUAAUUUCAUAUACUACAACUAUCAAAAUGAGGGUUUAAGUUUGUGUGCUAUUUUAUAUCACAUCACAAAGCAGAAUCGUGUUCAGAGCAUACAACUAAUCAAGAAUAAUGUGAAAGAAUUAUUAUAAAAGAUAUGAACAACGGAAUAGGUCCUACCUUGAGAAGAUGCCUCGAAGGGCAUUUUCGUAAAUUCACCUUAAUAGUAAAAAAAAAAUGUAAUAAUUAGGGACGGGUCGUUACAGAAAAUGGGAGAUUUUUUUAGAGAAAGGAGAGACUAGUGUUUGCAAUGCUUUCUAAUCACAUAUAUGCUCAUGCAUUAGUUGGUUCCCUUCGACCUUUUAUGUAGCCCAUUGUUAGGUACCCCUGGCUUUUAAUGGCUUUCAAGAGGUUUAAUGAAAUGGAAAUAAUUAACGAAAGGGAAACGAAUUGAGAGCCGCGGAUUGUUUUACAUAGACCACAUGGUUGGGUGUGUGCUUGGGCCCUUGACUUUCAAUGGCUUUCAAAAGGUUUGAUGAAAUGAAAAAUCCCUGCUUUCAUCAAUGUGAGUUUGAUUCUUAACACACAUUCUCAUUUGUGGUGAAAUUUCAAGCUUAACAUGUGGACAAUACAACUCGGGUGACGUAGAGUACGUGUAGCCAUUGGACUUCACACGUGGGAUAAUCAGCUCUGAUACUAUAAAGAAAGUUGAGGUUCUACUCUAACAGUUCCACCAUAAAACCAAUUAGUAAUAUAAGGAAUAGAUGAACCACUUAUAAGCACAUGUAAAGUCACUUCUCUCAUCAAUGUGAAUUCUUUCUUAAGAAAGAGAGAAUUUUUUUCUUUUACCACAAUUAAAAAGAUCAAUUGUUAAUCUUUGUAUAUAAAGAUCUAAUAAAUCUUUGUAUAGUUAAAUUUUACAUAAAAGAAAACUUAUAUAACUGAGUGAUAUUAUAUAUACUAAAACCCAGUUGGGUUCCGGCACUGUUCAGUAAUAAUGUCCGGACAGAUCUGCCCCUAGUUUGUUUGGGUUUUGGCGCUGGUUUCUUCCUUUUCUAUAGUAAAAUUCCUUUUUGCCCGUGCUGGGUGAGUGCUUUUCCAGUGGCCGAAUUGCCCUUCGGCUUUUUCAAGCCUUCUUAUUGUUUUUGGUGGUUCGUGCAGGGACAAGUUGGGAAUUGUGUGUGACACAUGUCGGUCAUCGUGCUAUUCUCUUUUGGGGUUUAUUUUGCUUGCUUUUUGUUUCCGUUUCUCACUUGCAUUGGUGGUUUUCUAUCUCUCUCAGCUUCUCUUUUCUUUUGGUUCCUGUUAUGUGCUUCUCUUUGGUGCGCUUUUGUGUUUUGUUCUUCUCAGCCGUGGUUUUCAGAACGUCGUAGGUGCUUCCUUCUUCCGAUAACUCUGUGGUGUGUGAUUUUCUUUUAGAUUUUUGUUUUCCUUUGUAGAUUUUUAUGUUGGUUUGCAGAACGGGUUUUCUUCUGUUGCGUUUAAAGAGAUCUAGACUUCGUUGGGUUUUUUCAGUACAUUGUUUAAUUUUUGUGAUUUUCUUUGUUUGGAUGAUGGGUUCAAAUGGAUUUUAGGGUUUUAAACUGUGAAAGGGUUUUCUUCUGUUGCGUUUAAAGAGAUGUGGACUUCGUUGGUUUUUUUUUUUUUUUUCCAGUUCAUUUGUUUAAUUUUUGUGAUGUUCUUUGUUUAGGUAAUCGGUUCGAAUGGAUUUUAGGGUUUUAAACUGUGAGAGGAUUCGACUCCUGUGGCAAGAGAGGUCUAGGUGCGUCAUUUGGGGAAGCAGAGGAUGGGGAAAGAGAAACCUUAAUCGUUUCCUUUCGCUAUUCCGAGGGUUUCAGAUCUCUAAUUGGGGUAAAGAAUUCCUGCUGUUUGCCCAUUUUUUCUGUUUGGGAUUUCUAGCCUGUGGCCGGAUUUUUUGUUGAUUAACUACUAUUUUCAAGGGCGGUGUUUUUCCAGCCCGUUGUGGGACAAGUGUGAUUCGACUAAGGUAUAUUUUAUAAUCGUUUUCUUUCGGUUUUUUUUGUUUUUUUUGUUUUUUGUUUGGAUGAAACCUUAAUCGUUUCCUUUUAUUGUUAAUUGUGGUGUUCUCUUGGCUUUUCCCUGUUAAAAGAGAAUUUUGUAUUUUUGUUCUUCAGUUGGCAAAUCUCGGAUUUUCUGGUAUUUGCAAUGUUGUUGUAAUUUUUUGGGUAUGUUUUUUGCCCUUUUGUUUUUUCUGCUUGGUACAUGGAUUUGUAAUUGUUGGGUUUAUAUGGGUUUGUAGUUUUUGGGAAAAAGAUGAAAGGGGUUAUUGAGGUUCUCUCUAUUUCGAGUUUAUCCUGUGGAUUUUUGUUUUCCAUUCCACUGUUGUCUCUCAUUUUGUGUUGCCUCUCUGAUUCUGGCUUUGUCUGCGUGUGUCAAAGGAUAGAAACGAGCUGAAGUCAAAUUUCUGAGGCUUGGUUCUGCUCCUUGGGUCGCUGCCCUGGAGAUUAAAUUAUAAAAAUUCAGUGUUUCCACGUUGCCGAUUCCAACUGGUCGUUGCUGAGAGGAUCAAAUUGAAGGAAAAGAAAGUCAAGUAUACGAAUGAGUUAGAAAGUAAGGUGUGACUAUUUCGAAGCACUUGUGACGCUACUAUUAUAUUUUGGCCAUAAAAUCUGUAACUAAUUUCCAAGUAUACAAGAAGGUUGUUGGGUUGAGUUCGGUUACACAAAUAACACCGCAGUAUAUCAUACAAAGAAUUUGAAAAAUCUUGAGUAUUUUGGAUUUAAAGCUAUUUGUUCUCACCUUCCAAGGCGCUUUGUCCUCAAGUUGUUUGUUUCCAUCAUGUCUGAAAAAUGUACAAAUGAUCAAACAAAUGAUGCUAUAAAACGAAAGAAAAGCGUUACUGACAGUGAAUCUAAUACAUUGGUUGACGAUGGUCAUCAGCGAAAAAGAAUGUGUAGAGCGAGUUAUAUGCAUAAUUCUGAAGAUGUUAUUAUGUCUGUAACUGACACAUUUAUUUGCGAAUAUUCAUCAGUUGAAUAUCGAUGUUCCUCCAGUACAUCUACUAACCACUGUGUGAUUGAGCCUGUUAACGAUGAUGAAAUGUUGGAUAUCA